rnacentral:rRNA from 1 species
CUGCCCAAUGACACAUAGUUUAAUGGCCGCGGUACCCUGACCGUGCAAAGGUAGCAUAAUCACUUGCCCCUUAAUUAGGGGCUGGCAUGAAAGGACACCACGAAAGCUUCCCUGUCUCACAAUAAUAAAUAAAAAUUAAUCUUCAAGUGAAAAAGCUUGAAUUAAACUGCAGGACAAGAAGACCCCGUUGAGCUUUAUUCUCUAUAGACUAAACCAAAUAUUAAAUACAUUAUAAACCUAAAAAGAAUUUAGUUGGGGUGACUAAGGAACACCAAAAACUUCCUUUUAUUAAUUAGGAUCAUUCUCCAUACAAAUUGACCCAUUACACAUGAUCAAAAAAAUAAGCUACCACAGGGAUAACAGGCUAAUCUUUCUCAAGAGCCCAAAUUGUCAGAAAGGAUUGGCACCUCGAUGUUGUCUUAGGGGCCCCUAAUGGUGCAGAAGCCAUAAAUGGUAGUUUGUUCAACCUUAAAACC